rnacentral:rRNA from 1 species
AGUGAACGCUGGCGGUAGGCCUAACACAUGCAAGUCGAACGGCAGCACAGUAAGAGCUUGCUCUUACGGGUGGCGAGUGGCGGACGGGUGAGGAAUACAUCGGAAUCUACUUUUUCGUGGGGGAUAACGUAGGGAAACUUACGCUAAUACCGCAUACGACCUACGGGUGAAAGCAGGGGAUCUUCGGACCUUGCGCGAUUGAAUGAGCCGAUGUCGGAUUAGCUAGUUGGCGGGGUAAAGGCCCACCAAGGCGACGAUCCGUAGCUGGUCUGAGAGGAUGAGCAGCCACACUGGAACUGAGACACGGUCCAGACUCCUACGGGAGGCAGCAGUGGGGAAUAUUGGACAAUGGGCGCAAGCCUGAUCCAGCCAUACCGCGUGGGUGAAGAAGGCCUUCGGGUUAAAGCCCUUUUGUUGGGAAAGAAAAGCAGCAGGUUAAUACCCCGCUGUUCUGACGGUACCCAAAGAAUAAGCACCGGCUAACUUCGUG